rnacentral:rRNA from 1 species
CAAACCGUUCGGGGGUAAACGGACAGAGCCCGUGAAUCCGGGCGACGGAAUUCAGAAUCGACGACGCGGACGUUAACGCCGUGCCGUGUGGUCGAUUCGAUAUUUCCGUCGCCGAUCAUUUUACGCACGGACGUCGCGACCCGUUCGGUGUCGGUCCGCAGGAGACGCGCGAAAGUUCGUGUUCGUUGGCGGCGGCGUGACCUCGCGUCGCGCCGUCGCGGACGUUUCGCGAGUGCGCGUUUUAUUUUCUGGCCGACUCGCCGGACGGUAAGCGUAGCGGUGAGCGCGGCGGCCUCCCCCCCGGGGUCGGCGCCGUCGCGUUACCGGUCUGCGACGAAUCUUC